AACGAACGCUGGCGGCAUGCCUAACACAUGCAAGUCGAACGAGACCUUCGGGUCUAGUGGCGCACGGGUGCGUAACGCGUGGGAAUCUGCCCUUAGGUUCGGAAUAACAGUUAGAAAUGACUGCUAAUACCGGAUAAUGACGUAAGUCCAAAGAUUUAUCGCCUAGGGAUGAGCCCGCGUAGGAUUAGCUUGUUGGUGAGGUAAAGGCUCACCAAGGCGACGAUCCUUAGCNGGUCUGAGAGGAUGAUCAGCCACACUGGGACUGAGACACGGCCCAGACUCCUACGGGAGGCAGCAGUGGGGAAUAUUGGACAAUGGGCGAAAGCCUGAUCCAGCAAUGCCGCGUGAGUGAUGAAGGCCUUAGGGUUGUAAAGCUCUUUUACCCGGGAUGAUAAUGACAGUACCGGGAGAAUAAGCUCCGGCUAACUCCGUGCCAG
rnacentral:rRNA from 1 species